AUUGAACGCUGGCGGCAGGCUUAACACAUGCAAGUCGAGCGGAGAUGAGGUGCUUGCACCUUAUCUUAGCGGCGGACGGGUGGGUAAUGCUUAGGAAUCUGCCUAUUAGUGGGGGACAACAUUCCGAAAGGAAUGCUAAUACCGCAUACGUCCUACGGGAGAAAGCAGGGGAUCUUCGGACCUUGCGCUAAUAGAUGAGCCUAAGUCGGAUUAGCUAGUUGGUGGGGUAAAGGCCUACCAAGGCGACGAUCUGUAGCGGGUCUGAGAGGAUGAUCCGCCACACUGGGACUGAGACACGGCCCAGACGCCUACGGGAGGCAGCAGUGGGGAAUAUUGGACAAUGGGGGGAACCCUGAUCCAGCCAUGCCGCGUGUGUGAAGAAGGCCUUAUGGUUGUAAAGCACUUUAAGCGAGGAGGAGGCUACUGAGACUAAUACUCUUGGAUAGUGGACGUUACUCGCAGAAUAAGCACCGGCUAACUCUGUGCCAGCAGCCGCAGUAACAC
rnacentral:rRNA from 1 species